rnacentral:rRNA from 1 species
AUAUAGAUGGCACAUUAUAGCACCGGUUCUCGUCCUAUCACCGAAGUUAAGCAGUGUCGGGCCCGGUCAGUACUUGGGAGGGUGACCACCUGGGAACACCGGGUGCUGUAGGCU